rnacentral:pre_miRNA from 1 species
AAGGAAGCUGACGAUUAGAACAUGUCAAAGGAAUCGGUCCAAUGCAGCUGACUAACGUGCUUAUAUCAAGUGUUGUAAACUCGUUAGUUAACUUUGUUAGACAUGUUCUAAUCGUCAGCUUCCUUCU